rnacentral:sRNA from 1 species
UCCGUAGGUGAACCUGCGGAAGGAUCAUUAGUGAAUUGCAGGGCCUGCCAUACGGAUGCGCAAGCGUCUCUGGCGCCCAACCCACUAUACAUCCACAAACCCGUGUGCACUUGUGUUGCUUUGCCUGUAUGGGCGAGCGCACGCAUUUAUACAAACUCGUAUGGUUGUAUGUACGUUGUAAACGUUGGACCGUCACUGGCCAACAAACUUUUAUACAACUUUCGACAACGGAUCUCUUGGUUCUCCCAUCGAUGAAGAACGCAGCGAAACGCGAUAGGUAAUGUGAAUUGCAGAAUUCCGUGAAUCAUCGAAUCUUUGAACGCACCUUGCGCUCCAUGGUAUUCCGUGGAGCAUGCCUGUUUGAGUGCCGCGAAUUCUCCCACCCCAAACGGUUGCCGAAAGGUACUGUGCGGCGGAGGGGUUGGAUGGGUGCUGCUGCCUGUGGGAAACUACAGGCUCGCCCGAAAUGCAUUAGCGCCUCAGGACAUCUUCGCUACUGCUCUACAAAAGGAAGAGCAGCGAAGCGUAAGGGGGAAAACCACCACCGGUUAUUCCAAACCUCGCCUGACUGUUUGCGCAUGGCAUGAUACGUCAUUUGCUGUGUUGCGUUAGGUUGGUGCGUGGGACUGUGUGAGUGCCUCUAGAGCUUUGAGAAGUUGUUUCGUGUGCUACGAACUGGAAAGUUUUCCAUUCCUUUUUCAUUUCUGGUCUCAAAUCAGGUAGGAUCACCCGCUGAACUUAAGCAUAUCAAUAAGCGGAGGAAAAGA